rnacentral:snRNA from 1 species
AUCGCUUCUCGGCCUUUUGGCUAAGAUCAAGUAUAGUAUCUGUUCUUAUCAGUUUAAUAAUAACUUACUUUCUAAGUUAUUUUUUGAAAAUAUAAAAGGUUAUCCUUU